UACGUAGGGUGCAAGCGUUGUCCGGAAUUAUUGGGCGUAAAGAGCUCGUAGGCGGCUUGUCGCGUCGGCUGUGAAAACCUGGGGCUCCAACCCCGGGCCUGCAGCCGAUACGGGCAAGCUAGAAUUCGGUAGGGGAGAAUGGAAUUCCCGGUGUAGCGGUGAAAUGCGCAGAGAUCAUGAGGAAGACCAGUGGCGAAGGCGGGUCUCUGGACAGUUCCUGACACUGAGACACGAAGGCCAGGGGAGCAAACGGG
rnacentral:rRNA from 1 species